AUUGAACGCUGGCGGCAGGCCUAACACAUGCAAGUCGAGCGGAUGAGGGGAGCUUGCUCCUGGAUUCAGCGGCGGACGGGUGAGUAAUGCCUAGGAAUCUGCCUGGUAGUGGGGGAUAACGUCCGGAAACGGGCGCUAAUACCGCAUACGUCCUGAGGGAGAAAGUGGGGGAUCUUCGGACCUCACGCUAUCAGAUGAGCCUAGGUCGGCUUAGCUAGUUGGUGGGGUAAAGGCCUACCAAGGCGACGAUCCGUAACUGGUCUGAGAGGAUGAUCAGUCACACUGGAACUGAGACACGGUCCAGACUCCUACGGGAGGCAGCAGUGGGGAAUAUUGGACAAUGGGCGAAAGCCUGAUCCAGCCAUACCGCGUGUGUGAAGAAGGUCUUCGGAUUGUAAAGCACUUUAAGUUGGGAGGAAGGGCAGUAAGUUAAUACCUUGCUGUUUUGACGUUACCAACAGAAUAAGCACCGGCUAACUUCGUG
rnacentral:rRNA from 1 species